rnacentral:rRNA from 1 species
AUGAGUAAUUCCACUUUCUCUAUCUGUUCGUGGAACGUCCGUGGACUGGGAGACGAUGCCAAAUGCGCUGACAUUCUCUCCAAAGUGAUCUCGAUCAAACCUCACAUUGCAUUAUUGCAAGAGUCAAAACUCGAUGCGUUCUCAGACCCAAAGUUACGAUCCUUAUUUCCCACACAGUUAGACCAAGUCUUCUCCCUACCUGUCGUCGGAACGGCGGGUGGCACCAUGUCCACCGCCAAUUCCGCCUCGUUCCAAGUGCUCUCUUACAGCCACCUCACCUUGUCGUCAACUUUGAUUAUGCGGUCCACGACAACCGACCAUAACAUAGCGAUCACCAAUAUCUAUGCACCAUCUUCCCGCGCCCUCAAAUAAUCUUUCCUCGAUGAGUUACUUGCUAUCUCACAACCAUACGACUCACCUUGGUUGCUUGUGGGCGAUUUCAACCUCCUCCGUUACCCCUCCGACAAGAAUAAUGACGCUUUCAGACAAUCCGAAGCCAAUGCAUUUAACCAAACCCUUGAUGAUCUCGCCCUCAUCGAACUACCACUUCUAGACCGCCAAUAUACUUGGUCCAGCAAUAGAGCAACACCCACCCUAGAACGUAUUGAUCGUGCCUUCUUCAACUUAGCUUGGGCAGAUGCCUUCCCAAACUCCUCCCUCUCCUCCCUCACGCGCUUCACAUCUGCCAUGUACCCCUCCUCAUACACGUCACCACAACGAUCCCGCGGUCUAAUUUUUUCAAAUUCGAACCUGGUUGGGCCCAACUGCAGCCCUGCGCUGACAUUAUCAGCAACGUUUGGGCCUCCUCACGGCCCGCAACAACCGCUAACUCUACCGCCACCCUUGUUGCCUUGCUCAAAAAGACUUGGGCCAAGCUCAAAAGAUGGGCCCGCUCUCGUAUUCCCGCCCCCUCCACGAAUCUCGAUGCAAAACCGCCAUCGCCGCCCUUGA